GAUGAACGCUGGCGGCGUGCUUAACACAUGCAAGUCGAACGGAGAACGAGGGAGCUUGCUCCCUCCGGAUCAGUGGCGAACGGGUGAGUAACACGUGAGCAAUCUGCCCUGGACUCUGGGAUAAGCGUUGGAAACGACGUCUAAUACCGGAUACGAGGCGUGGGGGCAUCCCCAACGCCUGGAAAGAACUUCGGUCCAGGGAUGAGCUCGCGGCCUAUCAGCUUGUUGGUGAGGUAAUGGCUCACCAAGGCGUCGACGGGUAGCCGGCCUGAGAGGGUGACCGGCCACACUGGGACUGAGACACGGCCCAGACUCCUACGGGAGGCAGCAGUGGGGAAUAUUGCACAAUGGGCGCAAGCCUGAUGCAGCAACGCCGCGUGAGGGACGACGGCCUUCGGGUUGUAAACCUCUUUUAGCAGGGAAGAAGCGAAAGCGACGGUACCGUAAGAAUAAGCACCGGCUAACUACGUGCCAGCAGCCGCCGUAAUAC
rnacentral:rRNA from 1 species